rnacentral:misc_RNA from 1 species
GAUGAAGAACGUAGCGAAAUGCGAUAAGUAAUGUGAAUUGCAGAAUUCAGUGAAUCAUCGAAUCUUUGAACGCACAUUGCGCCCGCCAGUAUUCUGGCGGGCAUGCCUGUUCGAGCGUCAUUUCAACCAUCAAGCCCCCGGCUUGUGUUGGGGACCUGCGGCUGCCGCAGGCCCUGAAAACCAGUGGCGGGCUCGCUAGUCACUCCGAGCGUAGUAAUACAUCUCGCUCAGGGCGUGCUGCGGGUUCCGGCCGUUAAAAAGCCUUAUUUACCCAAGGUUGACCUCGGAUCAGGUAGGAAGACCCGCUGAACUUAAGCAUAUCAAUAAGCGGAGGGA